UAAGAAUCUAUUUCUUAGAUUAGAAAGUUGAAUAUGCUCGUUACAGAGGAGGGACUGAUUGCUUAUUCACACCUGCACCUCAUUUACACACACACAUAUACGCCACUCACACGCAGACUCUCUGCUAAGUCUUGAUUUGCACUGGCUGUCAUUUUUGAGUGUUAUAUCUGUGUUUGCUUUCUUUGUGCUUUAUUUUGGACCGUUCCCUGUUUCUCUGAUUAUUCUCUGCCUGCCCCGACCUUGGAUUGUUUACUGGACUGUGUUUGCUAGUCGCCUGCCCUGAUCUCUCACCUGGUACUCGACUCUAUCUCUGCUCAAGCCCCUGCUGUUCAGUCUUGCUGGUAUUUGACCUUGUAUUCUCUGACUUUCCUAAAUUAAAGCUGCAAAUGGAUCCAAACGCUUCUGAUUCAUCACAACAAUGCUAUUGUUUUUAUUUCUAAUAAAGUUUUCCCUAGGACUCUAGCUGUUGUGCAUACUAUUGAAACGAUCAAUAACUCCAGCUUCCUCCCGGGUGUGCGACUGAGCUACUACAUCUGUGACACUUGCUCUGAUGCAUCAAAGGCGAUUCAGAGCACCUAACAGCUUUUCACUGUGAAUGGCUCACUGCCUGUCCAAUGGGAGGUGCUUGAAAGGCCUAAUGUAAAAGCAAUCAUUGGAGCACAUUUCUCAGAAAACUCUCUGACAGUGGCUCAGCUUCUGAGUCUAUACAUGGUCCCACAGAUAAGCACAACAUCAUCUGCACAAACACUUAAUGAUAGGGUGCGAUACCCAGCAUUCCUGCGCACCAUUCCUAGUGAUGUUCACCAAACCAAAUCUCUGGCUAAUUUCAUGAAACACUUUCACUGGGACUGGGUUGUGAUGAUUAUGGCAAAAAAUGCCUUACAAAGCUUCUUAACUGAAUAAGAAGGUGCAGAUAUCUGUCAUGCUUUUAAAGAAGUAUUGCCUCAUUACCUAGCUCACAAUGAAAUCAACAAAAGGAUUUGGCAGAACAUCUCAUGUACUUGGAUCGCAAGUGAUGCUUAGUCAAUGUCACAAAAUAUAUCUCAAAUGGAGGGAAUCAGCCAAGUAUGUGACAUUUUGGGGUUCACGUUCAUAACUGGUCCCAAUCCUGGUUUUAAGGAGUUUUUGCAGCAGCUGACUCUUGCUCUGGGCUCUGUAAACCUCUUUCUUGAGGAAUACAGGUCCUUCUCAAAAAAUUAGCAUAUUUCAUCCGACCAAUAAAAGAAAAGUGUUUUUAAUAUAAAAAAAAGUC
ensembl:lncRNA